rnacentral:tmRNA from 1 species
GGGGCUGACUUGGAUUUCGACAGAUUUCUUGUCGCACAGACAGCAUGCCAAGCGCUACUUGUAAAACAGCAACAAAAAUAACUGUAAACAACACAGAUUACGCUCCAGCUUACGCUAAAGCUGCGUGAGUUAAUCUCCUUUUGGAGCUGGACUGAUUAGAAUUUCUAGCGUUUUAAUCACUCCAUAACCUUAAGCUAGACGCUUUUAAAAGGUGGUUCGCCUUUUAAACUAAGAAACAAGAACUCUUGAACUACCUCAAGGUUUUAGAAAGUUGGACCAGAGCUAGUUUUAAGGCUAAAAACCAACCAAUUUUCUAAGCAUUGUAGAAGUUUGUGUUUAGGACAAGAUUUUUGGACUGGGGUUCGAUUCCCCACAGCUCCACCA